GAUGAACGCUGGCGGCGUGCCUAAUACAUGCAAGUCGAGCGAACAGAUGAGGAGCUUGCUCCUCUGACGUUAGCGGCGGACGGGUGAGUAACACGUGGAUAACCUACCUAUAAGACUGGGAUAACUUCGGGAAACCGGAGCUAAUACCGGAUAAUAUAUUGAACCGCAUGGUUCAAUAGUGAAAGACGGUUUUGCUGUCACUUAUAGAUGGAUCCGCGCCGCAUUAGCUAGUUGGUAAGGUAACGGCUUACCAAGGCAACGAUGCGUAGCCGACCUGAGAGGGUGAUCGGCCACACUGGAACUGGAACACGGUCCAGACUCCUACGGGAGGCAGCAGUAGGGAAUCUUCCGCAAUGGGCGAAAGCCUGACGGAGCAACGCCGCGUGAGUGAUGAAGGUCUUCGGAUCGUAAAACUCUGUUAUUAGGGAAGAACAGAUGUGUAAGUAACUAUGCACGUCUUGACGGUACCUAAUCAGAAAGCCACGGCUAACUACGUG
rnacentral:rRNA from 1 species